rnacentral:lncRNA from 1 species
UUAGAAUUAACACACAAAGUCACAAUGAAAUCAGAGAAUGAAACAAGAAAUAAAAGGAUCAAAUGAGCAUUAUGAAUUAACUACAUGGGUUUCUUGCUAGGCUACAUCGAAUCCCUAAGAAGAGAUUAGUUACAUUUCAUGUUUACAAACGUUUUAACAUAGAAAUACAUAACAUGAAUGAACAUAGAAUUGAGAAGAAGAAACCCUUGAAGCAAAACUGAUGUUGAAAUCCUUCAAGAAUGGCCUUCGGUCUUGGUUCUCCAGAUGUGUUGUAACAUGAAGGAUGAGCUGCUGUGGAUGAAUGGUUGUUGCGGAUGGGAGAGAGAAUGGACAGAAAAAUGGAGUUGCUAGGUGUGUGAAUGGUGGUAUGGUCGAGAGUUUUUUUAGAAGUGAGAUUGCAUGGACUUUAAAUUGAAGUCUCUUGGGAGAACAUGCGGCUGUCUAGCCAAAGAAUGAAGCUGCCAAUCUGAAUGAUGAUGGAAUGAAGUGAUUUCUGAGGUGGUGGAUGCACGGCACAAGGUGUAGAUGCAUACAUAUAGCUAUUUUAAUUGAACAUGCAUGUGUGUUUGCUGCAAAGCUGAAAUGGACAACCUGGAAUUGGUUGAACAAAUCUGGAAAAGGGAAUGAAUGUGCACGGCAUGGCUUUGCUUUGAGGUGUACAAGUGGCUGAAUGGAUUAGUUUAAUAGAAGCACAUGUGUUGCUGCAAAAGAGGGCUGGAAAUGUAAGGAGAUGCACGGCAAGAUUGUGAACCUGCAUGUGGCUGCAUGUUUUGGAGGUGUGGAUGUGGCAUUAAGUAAUGGAAGUGCAUGUUCUUGGUGCAAAAAGGGAAUGGAAUGCACGGCAAGAUUGAAAACAUGCAUGUGAUUGCAUGUUUUGGUAUUUAAAACCACAUAAUCUGAAUUCAAUGUUUUUGUCUUGCCUAGAAUCACCCAUUAUGGCCGAAUGCUCCACCUUACACUUCCACAUGUGUUCCUGAAAUUCCAGCAGCCAAAGUAGUUCUAUAUUCCUCAUUUGGGAUUUCAAAUUACUCCUCAAAAACCUUAUUCACGCUAGGGAUGAUGAUCAGCUACCAAAAGGGUUGAUUUUACUUCACUUGCAAUCCAAUUGAUCCUAAAACACACUUGGCUGCACACUAACACCAAAUAAUGUAAAAAACACAACUAGCUUGAUCCAAAAACAUCACAAAACAUGUUGAGUAUAAUAGCAUAAGUAAGGGUGUCGAAUCCACAGGGACUAAUUAGACCUAUAUAACCACUUGUUUUGCAAGAUUAGAAAAUAAAACUAAUCACUUUAGAUAGAUUUGAUGUUGUAACUUGAAACACACGGAAAUGAAAUGAACACAAGUAAAUGAAUCUACAAAUAAUGAAAUGAGAUAGUAUCAAUGGAGAUGAGGCUAGGGAUUCGGUUUCACCAUUGCUAAAUUGAUUCCAUGUUUGUUAAGUCAGUUUAUGCUCAGUCAUCUAUCUAUUUCUUGAGUUUGUUUCACUUAGAUAUGAUCAACCAUAUGAUAUGUGGAUUUGAUCAAAUAUUCCUAGUCAUGAACCUAAUUGUGAUGUUCAACUUCGGCUCCUAAUCAAGAAUGUGUUAUGCAUAAGAAACUUUCAUAAAACCAAAGAAACACUUGGCAGGAUGUUUGCAAAACGUUUCCUUCAAUCAUUCCCAUAUCUGCCAAAGUUAUGCAUGAUGUGUGCUUUAAGAUUGGCUAGACAACUUAUGGUUAAUUCAAAUGGUGAUCAAGCAUUAAAACCAACACACAAAGUCACAAUUAAAUCAGAAAAUGAAACAAGAAAUAGAAGGAUAAACUGAGCAUUCCGAAUUAACUACAUGGCAAUCUUGCUAGGCUACAUCGAAUCCCUAGAAUGAGAUUAGUUACACUUCAUGUUUACAAAUGAUUUAACAUAAAAAUAUAUAACAUGAGUGAACAUAGAAUUGAGAAGAAGAAACCCUUGAAGCAAAACUGAUGUUGAAAUCCUUCAAGAAUGGCCUUCGGUCUUGGUUCUCCAGAUGUGUUGUAACAUGAAGGAUGAGCUGCUGUGGAUGAAUGGUUGUUGCGGAUGGGAGAGAGAAUGGACAGAAAAAUGGAGUUGCUAGGUGUGUGAAUGGUGGUAUGGUCGAGAGUUUUUUUAGAAGUGAGAUUGCAUGGACUUUAAAUUGAAGUCUCUUGGGAGAACAUGCGGCUGUCUAGCCAAAGAAUGAAGCUGCCAAUCUGAAUGAUGAUGGAAUGAAGUGAUUUCUGAGGUGGUGGAUGCACGGCACACAAGGUGUAGAUGCAUACAUAUAGCUAUUUUAAUUGAACAUGCAUGUGUGUUUGCUGCAAAGCUGAAAUGGACAACCUGGAAUUGGUUGAACA